rnacentral:rRNA from 1 species
GAUCAUGGCUCAGGAUGAACGCUAGCUACAGGCUUAACACAUGCAAGUCGAGGGGCAGCAUGAAGUUUGCUUGCAAACUUUGAUGGCGACCGGCGCACGGGUGAGUAACGCGUAUCCAACCUACCUCUAACUAAGGAAUAGCCCGUUGAAAGUAAGACUAAUACCCGAUGAUAUCUCUAGACGACAUCUGAAAGGGAUUAAAGAUUUAUCGGUGAUGGAUGGGGAUGCGUCUGAUUAGCUUGUUGGCGGGGUAACGGCCCACCAAGGCUACGAUCAGUAGGGGUUCUGAGAGGAAGGUCCCCCACAUUGGAACUGAGACACGGUCCAAACUCCUACGGGAGGCAGCAGUGAGGAAUAUUGGUCAAUGGGCGAGAGCCUGAACCAGCCAAGUAGCGUGCAGGAAGACGGCCCUAUGGGUUGUAAACUGCUUUUAUAGGGGAAUAAAGUGAGCCACGUGUGGUUUUUGCAUGUACCCUAUGAAUAAGGACCGGCUAAUUCCGUG